ACGGAGGAUCCGAGCGUUAUCCGGAUUUAUUGGGUUUAAAGGGAGCGUAGAUGGAUGUUUAAGUCAGUUGUGAAAGUUUGCGGCUCAACCGUAAAAUUGCAGUUGAUACUGGAUAUCUUGAGUGCAGUUGAGGCAGGCGGAAUUCGUGGUGUAGCGGUGAAAUGCUUAGAUAUCACGAAGAACUCCAAUUGCGAAGGCAGCCUGCUAAGCUGCAACUGACAUUGAGGCUCGAAAGUGUGGGUAUCAAACAG
rnacentral:rRNA from 1 species